GCCAAUCUUCAACAUGUUUUUGGAGUAAACUAUGUGCGUAGUUUACUACGAUAAAUUGAUGUUUUAUAAGAGAAUACGCGGACAAUGUUGCGACAGAAAAACAACUGAUUAUUUCUCUGAACACCUUUAACAUCUCCACUGACUCCACAUAUGACCCAGAUAAGGAGACUGCUCAACACUAGCUACAGCUUUUGUCCGAUUAUGACAGACUCACAGUCAUGCAAGGUAUCUAAUACUAAAUUAUUUUCAGCUUUGAUAAACAAAAUAUAUAAACAAGGACAGACAUGCCAAUAUAAAAUAUACAUAAGUCAUAUUUGAGUUAAAGCUUCAUUAUUAUACCAGAUUUUGAAAAUGUCACUCUGAAAAAGAGUGUACGAAAUAUGACACAAGUAAAACCAUUUCAACCAGGGAUUAAUUAAAAAAAAAAACAAACAAAAAAAAAAAAAAA